rnacentral:lncRNA from 1 species
ACGACGAACAGCAGCGUAGAAUGGGCACUAACAGAGCUUUUGCGCCAUCCACAAGCAAUGGCAGAAGUGAAAACAGAGAUAUCAAAAGUAGUAGGACCAAACAACACGUUUGAAGAAAGUGACAUCGAAAAUCUUCCUUAUAUGCAAGCUGUAAUCAAAGAAUCACUUCGUUUACACCCUCCUCUCCCUUUCUUGAUCCCAAGAGAGACAAUUCAAGAUACCAAGUUCAUGGGGUAUGACGUUCCAAAAGGCACUCAAGUCUUGGUUAACGCCUGGGCGCUUGGAAGAGAUCCUCAAUGUUGGGACGACCCUAUGAGUUUCAAGCCCGAGAGGUUUGUUGGCUCAAAAAUAGACGUGAAGGGUCAGCAUUAUGGGCUAAUUCCAUUUGGUGCUGGACGAAGAAUGUGUGUUGGUUUGCCUUUAGGCCAUCGAAUGAUGCAAUUUGCUCUGGGAUCAUUGCUUCACCAAUUCGAUUGGGAGCUUCCCGAUGGUGUCACUCCUAAAUCUAUCAAUAUGGAUGAAAGCAUGGGAGUAACAGCCAGAAAACGCGACUCUUUGAAAGUGAUACCAAUAAAGGCUUGACAACUCAUUAAUCUAAUCGAGCCAACAAGUAUUCGUCUUUAUAGUUAUAUAUUUUUGCAUAUUUUCCUUAUAAUAAGUAUUUGUAGUGCCAACUGGAGUUUCUGUUAGUACUAAAAUUAUAGUAUGUACAUCUUUGUCAAACAAGAUUGUAAGUUGGUAAAAACUAAGAUAAGUGAUUUCAUUUCAAAUGUACUGCACUACGAAACAACGCCAGAUAGGACUAACAAUCUAAUAUAGCCACAUGUCAAAGAAGGUGAGAUAAUGAGUCUUAGUUGCAAAGAGCAAAUACAAACCAGCCUCACUAUUACAUUGGGGGCUUCUUGGUUAUUUAUUCUCAAGAACAACAAUGUUCCUUUAGCAGAUAUGGUUAUGUCUGCAGUUUAUAUCGAUGUUUACUUGGAGCAUUUGGAUAUGUAUGUUUGCGUAAACUAUGAUAACGUGCAAUGAGGGUCAUUUGUGAUAUUUUGAGGCACAUGGAUAUGUUUAUUUCAACUGUUCUUCAAAUAGCUGCAGUUUUUUUAAAUUGAUUUUGAUGCUUCUUGUAUAUGAUUCCUUAAUGGAUUCUGAAUAUGAACUUGUGUUAUACAGUUUUUGAAGUCGUUAUACCAUCUUGUUUUGGUCUCGAUAACAACUCAUGUCUAUGAUUUCGUAUGCUUCCAUCCUUAUAUAUUGAGAAAGAAGAGCAAGACACUUAUUUUCCUGGUACAACUAAGAUGAAAAUUUCUCUUCCUUUCAACAUUCAAUGGCUUACUCUACAGCUUUUAUGUAUAUAUGUUCAUCGUUUAUACAUCCUCUGGCCAUGUUAUUGUGCACAUUAGAAUGAGGAAUUCAUUAGAUAUAAUAUUUGUAUCAUGUGGUUCAUUGUUAUCAUCAAAAGGUGCCAUUUUGUUGCUGCUUAUUUUCCAACAACAUAUCCAAUGUAAUCCCAUAAGUAGAGUCUGGAGAGGGUCGUGUAUACAAAACCUUAUCCCUACAUUGUGAAGAUAGAGAGACGGUUUCAAAUAGACCCUCAGGUCAAGUAAUUGUUCUUAUUAUGCAACACUAUUGCUGACUUCAUAGUUAAUCUUGUAUUAAAAAAAGAGAAUCAAAUAUACUCUCCAUUGAUUUUUCUUGUUUUCUAUUUCCAAACAGAGUGAUAAAGAGGGCUAAUGUCAUGCUGAGUGAUUUUCCCCACAUGGCCAACUGAGGCGAAGCUAGCAAAAGCUGUAGUAUAAGUAAUGGACUGGGCUAUCAAAGAAACAUACUUAUCUGGACGGGGUGAUCAAUAAGACCUAUGGCCUAGGCUGGUGACUUCCAUUGCACUUUGGAAGGGUGGAAGCCUAAGGUCGGCCCAAGUGGGCGUUGGUCCCAUUCAGGUGUUUGUUUGGAAUGAAUUUUCUUUGCAAAUAGAAGUUUGAAUAGACUAUUGAGUCUAGGGAUGUUAAAUGAGUUUGGUUGAAUUUCGAAUCUUACCAAUAUUAAUCUUAAAGAUUUUGGUCACAUCCAAGAGUUUUUGUUAGGUAUGAAUUUUUGUGCAAAUAGAAUUCUGAACAGACUAUUGAGUCGACAGUUGUUAAAAGGGUUGGGUUGAAUUUGAGUAGGAUUGUUAAAUGAAAUGGGUUGAAUUUCGAACCCAAGUUCAACCCCUACCAAUAUUAACCUUAAAGAUUUUGGUCCCAUAUGGUUGUUAGGUAUGAAUUUCUAUGCAAAUAGAAUUCUGAAUAGACUAGUGAGUCUUAGGGACGUUAAAUGGGUUGGGUUGAAUUUGAGUAUGAUUAGAAGUGUCAAAUGAACGUGAAUAUCAACUAGAGGUGUUAACAGGUGGGUCGGAUUGAAUUAGAGCAUAGUUGAGAAUUGAGAUAAUAAAUGGGCCAUAAGGUCCCAUAAUAAAUUUCAAGAGUUUGUUGGUAUGAAUUUCACCUAUAAAAUAGAAUAUGAUUAGGAGUGUUACAUGGGUGAAUUGGUUUGAAUUUGAGUAUGUCAAAACAAGUUGAGUUAAUAAUUGAUUCACCCAAGUAAUUGAUCUCUCCAAUCAUUAUCAUGGCUAAAAAUUGGGUCAUAACAUAACUCGUUUAAUUCUUACUAUAUUUUAAUUUCUUAAUUUGUUUUCUUAUACUUUGUUCGAGUACCUACUAGAAAAAUCUUCCUUAUAUUAUGACUUAUAACAUAUUAAAUAAAAAAUAUUUUUUUAAAAAAUAUUUAGAUAGUUUCUCGAGUCUAUCUGGGCUGAAUAUUAGCGCAAUUUUAAAAUGAACUAAAUUAAGCUGGGUCAAAAUGGACCGAGUUAAUUAAAUGAAUAGAUCGUAAAUUCACUCAAAUCUAAACAAACUGAAUAUAUCAUGAUUUUAUGGGUUGAUUUUGUCAUGCUCUAUUUUACUUUUGUCAAAUUUUGUUCGCCUGUAAGAUUGUGUUAAGGCUUAAGUUCUCUAUGGCACCUUGAAGUUGUCCGCUUAAUUUACUUAGACACCUCAACUAGAACGUAUACCUAUUGAACACCUCUACCCUCUCGAAUUUGAACCACUUAAACACUUUAUGCAGACGUGACACAAAAAGUGUAAUUCAUACCUUGGUGUGCACGUGAAACCAAUAUUUUUACAUUCUCUCUUUUCCUUUUCAAUUUUUUCUCAUUAUUUGUUUUUUAAAAAUAACAAUCGUUGUCUCUUUGCAGAUGCAGAGCUGCUCCUGUCAUUUUUUUUCACACGACUUGUUGUAACCACUUCUUCACCACAAUCCAAUUUGUUUUUUUACAAAUUUUUUUCUUUUUUAAAAAUAAAAAUAAAAAUUCUUAUCAUUGUACUAUUAAUUUUGCAGAUGUAGAACUACUCCCGUUAUUUUUUUCUGAAAAAAAAAUGGAGAUUACCAUCCACAGUUUUUUGUCAAAAAAAAUGGAGAUUAUUAUCUACGUCUUCUUUGUCGAAAAAAUAGAGACCACCAUCCACAUCUACUUUGCCUGAAAAAAUAGAGAUCAUUAUUCAAAUAUUUUCUCUCUCUUCACCUCUCCCCCACGUCCCUUCUUCCCCAUAAAUCGAAGCACAAAUAGAAAAAAAAAAUCAUAAUCAAAAUAAAUAAAGAAAGAAUAUAUCUUUUAAGAAAACACUAUUAAUUUAAAUGUGAAUAAGAAAGAAGGCAUAUAGAGAAAUAAAAAUGAUAAAAUCCAUACAUAAUAUGGAGAAUUAACAAUGGUGAACAAGAGUGAGCGUGUAUAAUUUCUAUUUAUUUAGUUGAAAGUCUUUUUUUUUUUUAGAUUUGAACUUGUUUAUAUGCAAAAUUCAUUUUUAUAAUGAUUUUAAAUUAAAAUGGCACAUGUCUUCUUUGCCACAUCAUAUACAUGUGUAUUACACACUUCCUCUUUUAACUAAGGGUCAUGAAAAUGUUCAAUACGUAUUUAUUUUUCACCAUUAAAGUGACUAAUAUGCGGAUAACUUUAAGAGGUCAGACUUAAGCCUUUUGUUAAUUUGAGAUUUACUCUUAUUUACUAAUUGAGCAAUUAGUAUAGUAACGACUUAAUGGUUAUCUUAUCUAUCAUUUUGGAUGAUUUGCAUAGAAAAUAUAGACUAUGAAACAUUGUACGUGAUUUGCCAAGAAUACACGAAUAUAAUUUAUUUAAAAGAGUUCUCAUAUUUAACGUAAUUAUCUUGAAUAUAUUUAUAUUCACAUUAUUAACAUGAAAGAGAUAUUGAUUGACCUAGCUAACCAACUUAUUUUCCUCUUGAAAGUCAUCACUGUGUUUUAUUUGCUUUUUUUAUUUUAUUUCACGUGAUAUUAUUUCUUUAUGGGAAAAUUAUGAAUCCAUCCAAAAAGAUUAACGUAUUUCAAUGCAUUUUAUUCUAUCCUUAAUGAGAAGCUUUGAUAGAUAUACAAAUUUUAUUUCUUCUUCUUUUUAAACUUCAUGACAAAUCAAUUCCGUAACUGAAACAAAAGGAGUAUGAUAACUUAAAAAUGGAUUUAAACGUUAGAAAUUUUAGUGUUUAUCUAAUUGUAUCAUAUAAUCAGAGGCGGAGCCAGGAUUUCAGACUUGUGGGUUCUAAAUUUAAAAAAAAAUAACGAUCUUAAAAAUCACAAAACACAAAUUAUGUUAAUGAGAUGUUUGUCAUGUUUGAAAACAUUACCUUAGAUAUUGUUAUUCUAAAAACUUAUUUUAAUAAUAUGAAGAUUUGAGUAAUUUAAUUUAAAGUUCUAAAAUAUUGUUAAUGAAAGAUGAAUAAUUUUUUAAAUAUAAUUCUUGAAUAUUUUCCCCCAAACACCUCCACCCCCAGGGGCAGACCCACAAGAAGUUACAAGCAGAGGCGGAGCCAGGAUUUCAGACUUGUGGGUUCUAAAUUUAAAAAAAAAUAACGAUCUUAAAAAUCACAAAACACAAAUUAUGUUAAUGAGAUGUUUGUCAUGUUUGAAAUCAUUACCUUUUAAUAAUAUGAAGAUUUGAGUAAUUUAAUUUAAAGUUCUAAAAUAUUGUUAAUGAAAGAUGAAUAAUUUUUUAAAUAUAAUUCUUGAAUAUUUUUAUUAUAAUAUAAAAUACUAUUUUAAGUGAGAAAAAAAUAUUUAAUUCACCAUUAAUAUUUUCGCACCUAAAAUAUAUAUUUUACUAGUUUCAUUGUGACCUUGAACUAUUACUACCUUCAAAAGUUAUAAUGUUGAAAAGCAAAUAACAAUUAUUCACUAUAAUCAAUUAUCAAUAUGUGGGAUAACCUUAGAAAAUAUUAAAAAUUGAUUUUUGAAUAGAUAAUUCUACGGUGUAAAAGCAAACAAAUAAAAAAAAUGAAAAAGGAGAAGUGAGAGUACAUAGUACAUAUCGAAGGCAGAGGUCGGAUGAUAGCAAUCAGAUCAACAAUAAAAGUUAGAAUCCUAACUUUUGAAAAUAAAUUUGGGCUAAAAUUUUUGAAUAGAAAUCAAUGAAAUUAUAUUUGGGUUAAAUUUUUUGAAUAUCUGAGUAGAAAUCAAUAGUUAGCUAUUGUUUUAAAGUAUGAUCCAAACACUUUUUUUUAUUAUCAUUAACCGUUUUUCUGUUUUUUUUUUUAUAUAUAUAAAUUAUCAUUUGCCAAUUUUCUACUUUUUAUAAAAACAAAAAUCCAAUGUUUUUAUCUGAAAUUAAUUCCAAAAACUUAGUGCCGUGAGCAGGUUUCGAACCCAUGAUCAUUAACCGUUUUUCUGUUUUUUUUUUUUUAUAUAUGUAUAAAUUAUCAUUUGCCAAUUUUCUAUACCGGUUUUCUAUUGUUUUUAAAAAAAUAUAUAAAUUAUCAUUUGCCAAUUUUCUAUUUUUUAUAAAAACAAAAAUCCAAUGCUUUUAUCUGAAAUUAAUUCCAAAAACUUGGUGCCGUGAGCAGGUUUCAAACCCAUGGCGCGUGUAUUGAAUGAUUUCACUGGGUGCGGGGAGACCACUGGGCCACCCGACUCAUUGUGUUAGAGGAUUCACAGGAAAUUUAUAUGUACGUUUUAUUUGAUAAAAUCUACGGAAAAGUCAGUGGGUUCUCCCGAAACCCCUUCCGCUACAGUAGCUUCACCCCUGCAUAUAAUCGACAAGUGCCAAUUAUUGGGUACCAAUUUACAACAUUUUCUUAUCAUUUUACUUUAUGAAUAGUGAUCGCAAUUAUUCUAAGUACGUCUACUAUCUUGUCAGAUAAAUAGUAUGGUAAAGCAAAGAAACUUGUUUUGUGGACGUAAUUUAUCAUUAACGCCGACAAUAUUAAUAAGCAUUGAAAAUGUUGAGCUAACCUAAGUAUAUUAACUAUACAAGCAAACGAGGGUUGAAGUUUCAAAAAGAAAAAUCAAAGCUCAUACCUAAUUGACACACACAUAACAUGUAGCUGGAGGCCAUAGCUGCCGCGUGGAACCAAAAUUUGAACUUUAUAGGUUCUAAAUUUUAGGAUAACAACCCUCGGGUAUUGGUAAUUGAUUUUUGAAGGGUAAUUAGGACAAAAAUAAUUUAGUUGCGCACUGAAUAAACAGUACCAAGUUAAAUGGUUAUGAGGUAAUGAGAAGCAAUAUAACAUUAUAAAUAAGAGCUUCCGUCACAUAAUUUAUAGCAAACUCACUAAAAAAAGUAUAGGAGAGAUGGAAUGGGAAUGGAGUUAUCUGUGUUUUUCUUCAAUCAUCUUAUUACCAGUUUUGAUCCUAUUUUUUUCUCAGAAAAAGACUACAAAAUGUUCUUACAAAUUACCUCCAGGACCACCUGGAUUACCAUUUUUUGGUAACAUGUUUGAACUAGGAACAGAGCCCUACAAAAGAAUGGCAGCUCUAAAACAGAAAUAUGGCCCUGUAUUGUGGUUAAAACUUGGCACCUCAACCAACAUUAUGGUUGUUCAAACAGCUCCGGCUGCUGCAGAAUUAUUUAAGAACCAUGAUACUUCCUUUGCGGAUCGAUUCAUACCUGAUGUAAAUCAGGCACAUAGUUACUAUCAAGGGUCCUUGGCCAUAGGCCGAUAUGGCUCAUUUUGGCGCUUUCAGAGACGGAUAUGUACUGUGGAAAUGUUUGUACACAAAAGAAUCAGUGAAACAGUGCCAGUAAGGCGAAGAUGUGUGGAUAAUAUGUUAAAAUGGAUAGAGAAAGAAGCGAAUUCAGCUGAAAAAGGAAGUGGGAUUGAGGUAACACGUUUUGUGUUCCUAGCAUCGUUUAAUAUGCUAGGGAAUUUGAUUCUGUCGAAAGACUUGGCUGAUCCAGAAUCCGAGGAAGCCUCGGAUUUCUUCAAUGCCAUGAAGAGAAUCAUGGAGUGGUCAGGUAUUGCUAAUGUUUCUGACAUAUUUCCAUUUCUUAGAAAGUUUGAUUUUCAAAAAUUGAGGAAGAAGAUGGCACGAGACAUGGGGAAGGCCAUUGAGAUCAUGUCUAUGUUUCUCAAGGAACGCGAGGAAGAGCGAAAGAAGGGUGCGGAGAAGGGGAAAGAUUUCUUGGAUGUGUUGCUUGAAUUUGAAGGCACUGGAAAAGAUGAGCCAGCUAAAUUAUCAGAACAUGAGAUCAAAGUAUUAAUAGUGGUAAGGUUUUUUAAAAAAAAUCUCUACACUUAUCUUUUCAACAUCAAUGAUUUUCUUUUCAAUUAGUUGUAUCUGGAGCAGAAAAAUGUGUUCUGCUUAGGGAAUAUUUUAUGCUCCUCAGGCCUCAGUCUUCACUCAACAAUCUUCAUUCCUUGUCUUUUACUACUAUUGCUCACUUUAAUUAUGAGGACUAAUUUGAUUGAAAAGUUAAUGUAAGUUCUUUUGAGAUCUUUACACAAAUAGCCGGCUGGGUUCACUGUUUCACUUUUCCUAUCUGGUAUACAUAUACUAUACACUGAUUAUAUACGGUUCUGCAUCAGGAAAUGUUUUUGGCCGGUUCAGAGACGACGAGCAGCAGCGUAGAAUGGGCACUAACAGAGCUCUUGCGCCAUCCAGAAGCAAUGGACAAAGUGAAAACAGAGAUAUCAAAAGUAAUAGGACCAAACAGCAAGUUUGAAGAAAGUGACAUCGAAAACCUUCCUUAUAUGCAAGCUGUAAUCAAAGAAUCGCUUCGUUUACAUCCUCCUCUGCCUUUCUUGCUCCCAAGAGAGACAAUUCAAGACACAAAGUUCAUGGGGUACGACAUACCAAAAGGAACUCGAGUUCUGGUGAACACCUGGGCUAUUGGAAGAGAUCCUGAAUGUUGGGACGACCCUAUGAGUUUCAAGCCCGAGAGGUUUCUUGGCUCAAAAAUAGACGUGAAGGGUCAGCAUUAUGAGCUAAUUCCAUUUGGUGCAGGACGGAGGAUGUGUGUUGGCUUGCCUUUAGGCCAUCGAAUGAUGCAUUUUGCUCUGGGAUCAUUGCUUCAUGAAUUCGAUUGGGAGCUUCCUAAUGGUGUCUCUCCUAAAUCUAUCAAUAUGGAU